rnacentral:rRNA from 1 species
GGGUUGUGAGGUUAAGCGACUAAGCGUACACGGUGGAUGCCCUGGCAGUCAGAGGCGAUGAAGGACGUGCUAAUCUGCGAUAAGCGUCGGUGAGGUGAUAUGAACCGUUAUAACCGGCGAUUUCCGAAUGGGGAAACCCAGUGUGUUUCGACACACUAUCAUUAACUGAAUCCAUAGGUUAAUGAGGCGAACCGGGGGAACUGAAACAUCUAAGUACCCCGAGGAAAAGAAAUCAACCGAGAUUCCCCCAGUAGCGGCGAGCGAACGGGGAGGAGCCCAGAGCCUGAAUCAGUGUGUGUGUUAGUGGAAGCGUCUGGAAAGGCGCGCGAUACAGGGUGACAGCCCCGUACACAAAAAUGCACAUAUUGUGAGCUCGAUGAGUAGGGCGGGACACGUGGUAUCCUGUCUGAAUAUGGGGGGACCAUCCUCCAAGGCUAAAUACUCCUGACUGACCGAUAGUGAACCAGUACCGUGAGGGAAAGGCGAAAAGAACCCCGGCGAGGGGAGUGAAAAAGAACCUGAAACCGUGUACGUACAAGCAGUGGGAGCCUCUUAAUGGGGUGACUGCGUACCUUUUGUAUAAUGGGUCAGCGACUUAUAUUCUGUAGCAAGGUUAACCGAAUAGGGGAGCCGAAGGGAAACCGAGUCUUAACUGGGCGUUAAGUUGCAGGGUAUAGACCCGAAACCCGGUGAUCUAGCCAUGGGCAGGUUGAAGGUUGGGUAACACUAACUGGAGGACCGAACCGACUAAUGUUGAAAAAUUAGCGGAUGACUUGUGGCUGGGGGUGAAAGGCCAAUCAAACCGGGAGAUAGCUGGUUCUCCCCGAAAGCUAUUUAGGUAGCGCCUCGUGAAUUCAUCUCCGGGGGUAGAGCACUGUUUCGGCAAGGGGGUCAUCCCGACUUACCAACCCGAUGCAAACUGCGAAUACCGGAGAAUGUUAUCACGGGAGACACACGGCGGGUGCUAACGUCCGUCGUGAAGAGGGAAACAACCCAGACCGCCAGCUAAGGUCCCAAAGUCAUGGUUAAGUGGGAAACGAUGUGGGAAGGCCCAGACAGCCAGGAUGUUGGCUUAGAAGCAGCCAUCAUUUAAAGAAAGCGUAAUAGCUCACUGGUCGAGUCGGCCUGCGCGGAAGAUGUAACGGGGCUAAACCAUGCACCGAAGCUGCGGCAGCGACACUAUGUGUUGUUGGGUAGGGGAGCGUUCUGUAAGCCUGUGAAGGUGUACUGUGAGGUAUGAUGGAGGUAUCAGAAGUGCGAAUGCUGACAUAAGUAACGAUAAAGCGGGUGAAAAGCCCGCUCGCCGGAAGACCAAGGGUUCCUGUCCAACGUUAAUCGGGGCAGGGUGAGUCGACCCCUAAGGCGAGGCCGAAAGGCGUAGUCGAUGGGAAACAGGUUAAUAUUCCUGUACUUGGUGUUACUGCGAAGGGGGGACGGAGAAGGCUAUGUUGGCCGGGCGACGGUUGUCCCGGUUUAAGCGUGUAGGCUGGUUUUCCAGGCAAAUCCGGAAAAUCAAGGCUGAGGCGUGAUGACGAGGCACUACGGUGCUGAAGCGACAAAUGCCCUGCUUCCAGGAAAAGCCUCUAAGCAUCAGGUAACAUCAAAUCGUACCCCAAACCGACACAGGUGGUCAGGUAGAGAAUACCAAGGCGCUUGAGAGAACUCGGGUGAAGGAACUAGGCAAAAUGGUGCCGUAACUUCGGGAGAAGGCACGCUGAUAUGUAGGUGAAGCGACUUGCUCGUGGAGCUGAAAUCAGUCGAAGAUACCAGCUGGCUGCAACUGUUUAUUAAAAACACAGCACUGUGCAAACACGAAAGUGGACGUAUACGGUGUGACGCCUGCCCGGUGCCGGAAGGUUAAUUGAUGGGGUUAGCGGUAACGCGAAGCUCUUGAUCGAAGCCCCGGUAAACGGCGGCCGUAACUAUAACGGUCCUAAGGUAGCGAAAUUCCUUGUCGGGUAAGUUCCGACCUGCACGAAUGGCGUAAUGAUGGCCAGGCUGUCUCCACCCGAGACUCAGUGAAAUUGAACUCGCUGUGAAGAUGCAGUGUACCCGCGGCAAGACGGAAAGACCCCGUGAACCUUUACUAUAGCUUGACACUGAACAUUGAGCCUUGAUGUGUAGGAUAGGUGGGAGGCUUUGAAGUGUGGACGCCAGUCUGCAUGGAGCCGACCUUGAAAUACCACCCUUUAAUGUUUGAUGUUCUAACGUGGG